GUCCUUCAAAUCCCCGUCCGCCUGCCCUAUAUUCAUCAGCGUCGGGUUCGCCCGACUAUGGGGAUAAACGCGCGCGAAAUAAGCGGACUGGACCCGGGUGCGAUUCCCGGCGGCUCCACCAAGAUCUUCCUCCGGGUUAUCGCCGGAAAAGUGCGGGGCCGAUCAGCAUCGACAGACGUGUAAAGGCGUUGCUUUCUCCCGGCCUGACCCACCGUUUCGGGUCAUUAAACUAAAUGCGAACGAUAACUUCGCUGAGGAAGUCCGCCUGGCCGCGUAAUGCGGUCCGGUAGAAAUCCGACCUAAGCCCUAGGGGUUCAGAUCCUUAGGCGGGGCCCGGUGGGGGCCUGGCAACAGAACCCCACCACC
rfam:Phenylobacterium zucineum HLK1, complete genome.